CGCGCAGGCGCAUACUUAUUCUCUGCGCGGCGUCCGUUUCUCCAGACUUUCCACUUUUGGCAAGCUAUGUUCCCUGGCUUGUGUCCAGUCUACAAAAGGUCUUAAAACCACGGAGCAGGGCUUUAAGCGUUUAGGAUCUCGCUUUUUGCAGGCUUUUGACAAGAAGGCUCAGAUCUCCACUAACCAGUGGCCACAUUUUACCAUCAUGAUCAUUGAGUAGCUCACAACCAAACCGUUUGCUUUAUCACAGCAAGAAGAGUGAGGAGAGCCAAAAAUGUCACAGAAGGGAGAAGCUGGAGGAAACUGAGGAGGAGGGCAACCCUGUAGGAGGACCAGCAGUCUCAACCUGGACCCUGAGAUCUCUCAGACACUGGACCACCAACCAGGCAGCAUGCACCAGCUGAUAUGAGGCCCCCAGCACAUAUACAGCAGAGGACUGCCAGGUCUGCGUACAGUCAGAGAAGAUGCACCUAACUCUCGAGACUGGAGGUCCCAGGAGAGGGGAGGUCUGAUGGGGGAGCAUCCUCGUGGAGACCGGAGGAGGAGGUAUGGGAUGUGGAACAGUCAGAGAGUAGACCCAGAGGGGGAUAAAAUCUGGAGUGUAAAAAAAAAAAAAAAAAAGAAAUAAAAUUUAAAA
rnacentral:lncRNA from 1 species